rnacentral:rRNA from 1 species
GGAGCGUUCUGUAAGCCUGCGAAGGUGUGCUGUGAGGCAUGCUGGAGGUAUCAGAAGUGCGAAUGCUGACAUAAGUAACGAUAAAGCGGGUGAAAAGCCCGCUCGCCGGAAGACCAAGGGUUCCUGUCCAACGUUAAUCGGGGCAGGGUGAGUCGACCCCUAAGGCGAGGCCGAAAGGCGUAGUCGAUGGGAAACAGGUUAAUAUUCCUGUACUUGGUGUUACUGCGAAGGGGGGACGGAGAAGGCUAUGUUGGCCGGGCGACGGUUGUCCCGGUUUAAGCGUGUAGGCUGGUUUUCCAGGCAAAUCCGGAAAAUCAAGGCUGAGGCGUGAUGACGAGGCACUACGGUGCUGAAGCAACAAAUGCCCUGCUUCCAGGAAAAGCCUCUAAGCAUCAGGUAACAUCAAAUCGUACCCCAAACCGACACAGGUGGUCAGGUAGAGAAUACCAAGGCGCUUGAGAGAACUCGGGUGAAGGAACUAGGCAAAAUGGUGCCGUAACU